UGGGGAAUAUUGGACAAUGGGCGCAAGCCUGAUCCAGCCAUGCCGCGUGAGUGAUGAAGGCCUUAGGGUUGUAAAGCUCUUUUAGCGGGGGCGAUAAUGACGGUACCCGCAGAAAAAGCCCCGGCCAACUUCGUGCCAGCAGCCGCGGUAAUACGAAGGGGGCUAGCGUUGCUCGGAAUCACUGGGCGUAAAGCGCACGUAGGUGGGUCGUUAAGUCGAGGGUGAAAUCCCAGGGCUCAACCCUGGAACUGCCUUCGAUACUGGCGACCUUCGAGUCCGGGGGAGGUGAGUGGAACUGCGAGUGUAGAGGUGAAAUUCGUAGAUAUUCGCAAGAACACCAGUGGCGAAGGCGGCUCACUGGCCCGGUACUGACACUGAGGUGCGAAAGCGUGGGGAGCAAACA
rnacentral:rRNA from 1 species